GGCUGAGGAAGGAGAACAGAUGGAUAUGGGGUAGACUUGGAAUUAUAGCGAGACUGCACUGGUUGAGGAAAGGCGACAGAUGGACACGAAUGAGCUUCGAAGAAUACUUCGUCCAAGGAUGAAUCAGGCAUUGCAGCAAAACCAGUGUCAAGCUCCAUACUGAAUGCUGGUGCUUUCCCGCCAAACUCCAAAUCUAUCUGUUGAAGAAUCAAAGCCAACAUACAAAGAAUAUCAAGUCUUAGAUAAAACUUUCAAAAUGUUUUAAUGACUAAAAAGAAAAGCAUACAUAAUUACUCAUUUUGUAAACCUAAAAGCUUGAAACUCUAUUAUGCGUAAUUUUAUACCUUUUCCUUUAUAAA